ACAACUAUUACCUCAGACGGGGCUGGGCUGGAGGAGGUGGCAUCCUGUGGGAAAUAAGGGGUCGUUACGCAAAGGGGACUGCAGAGACGCAGGAAUUUAAUUCCACAUUUAAACAGUUGCUCAUGGACAUGCAGUGAUGCACUUUGAGAAAUAUUUAAUCAGUGCCCUUUCCUCAGAGUACAUGAGACAGUCAGUGCUAGCCAGUGCUAGCCAGCUGGCCUCCUGACACUCUAUGACACAGAGGGAGCCCCAUCCAAGUUCACUUUCCACCAUCUAUUUUUGAAUCCUUUUAACACUUUAUGAGAGAGAAAGAGAGCAAAGAACAGAAUAUGCAGGCAGGCAAGCAGGCAGCGUCCAACUCCGUUAAACCGCCACGGCGCCUGCAAGCUUGGGAGUCAAGACAGCUUCUUCAGCACCUUGUCACAGGAUAUAAACAUACUAUCUCACCACAUUAUUAGUUCCACGCUCUGGCAUACUGAGACAUUUACAGACAAGAGACAGGGAGACAGAAGAGGCUAUGCUGGGAGGUUUAGAGAGAAGAAUUCAGGACUCAAGCGCUGUACACUAACGAGGAGAGGGGCAGGAGGGAAGCCCAGAGAACAAGUGAGCCACUUGAGCUGGUUCUGAAAGAGACAGCGUAGAAGACACACAGACAUUCCUGGUUUCUUGCCUUGGCUGGACAACACGGCUGCAAAAGGAGCACCAGGAGGAAGCACCAGGGCUUGUACCGCCCAGGGAUCUUCUGAGCAUAAGGAAGAUGGCUCCAUUCCAUGAUCCCUGGCGCCUCAAGGCACAGCAGAUAAGAAGGCAAGAAAAGCCAUACCUGCUGAAGGGUCCUCUGGCUCCAGGCCUGUGCGAGGAGCAAGAAGGAUGAAAAGAAAAAGGGAAAAACAGAAACGGUUAAAGUUUGCGGGAAGCAAGCAUGAGACACACUGAGCGAUGAAAAUCAGCAGCCCUUGCCUGACACAAAACACCCUCAGUCACAACGGCCCCAUUACCAUAGGAACCCACUUGAAACCAUGAUGUGUUCACAGGCGCUGACCUUUGAGAACACAAGGCUACAUUCACAGGGAUGAAGAAACAAUUGUUCCUUGACAUUCUUACUUUACAGACUGAAAGGCAACAGAACUCUCUGCUGUCCAGUCCUUCUCAGUCUCAUUCCCCUUCCCAAAGCCCGCUGUGGGCUCAGCAUGACUGCACCUUAGCAGGCUGGGUUAAUUAAUGGGCCCCAGCAGUAGAACAUGACCAAAGCCUCAAUAGCAUGGUUUUGUUUUAGGGGGGUCUGUUUGUUUGUUUGUUUGUUGAUCCCUAUCUCCACUCAUUAAACAAGGCACAAAAGCAUGUACAAUAUGGGCUGGAGAGAUGGCUCAGCAGUUAAGAGGGCUUUGCUACAUAAUCAUGAGGAGCAGAGUUCAGAUCCCAGUAGCCACAUAGCAAGCCAGGAAUCCCACCAAUGCCUGCAACGCCAGCUCCAAGGGAGCUGAAGCCCUCUUCUGGCCUCUGCCAAAAGGUGGGGUAGGGGUGUUAGGGAGCAUACACAAUAAAUAAAGCUAAUAAAAUUUUUUAGAAGAAAAUUCCACACCUGAUUUGAUUUCACAUGACAGAUCAGAGUCAAAAUGGAGGUGUGCUAAAAGUAUAAUAGGCUACAUGUAUGAAGUUAUGUGAAACACAAAUGAAUCUCAUGUUUAGGCUUGGGUUUCUUCUAUAAUAUACUCCAUUAUUUAUAAUGCAAAUGCUCCAAAAUCUAAGAGAAAAAGAUCUGAAAUACAUCUGAUCUCAAGCACUUCAAAUAAGACCCAAUGACUGUGACUGUGUACCACAUCAAGGAACAGCCACAGAUAAUCCAUAAAUGAAUGAACUGUGCCCCCAAAUACUCUUAUUUAUGAACAUUAAAUUUCAAAUUUUAAAGGCUUUCACGUGGUGCAUAAUAUCACUUUUCUUUGCAUUUUUCUACCAGCCAUUUAAAAAUAUAAAAGCCAUUCUUGGCCAACAAGCUGGAUUUUGCUCGUGGCCAGUGUGGCCACCCCGCUCCUACAUUCAUUUAACGUCCUGUCCCUCAGUUUCCUGAGAAGCCUUGUAUUCUCACUCCUGUAGAGACAAUCAGGGGACUCAUUGUCCUUAGAGUCCAAGUCUCCACUUCAGUGCAUGUCUCUAAGGCCAUCAGUAGACUUUCCAGAUGACAAGUUGAGAUGUGCAAACAUUCAUUAAGCACCUUUCAGGUGCCAGACAUGGUUACACUUUACACCUAUUUAGUAUUUAAUUUAAUUAAAUGCUUACUGUACUUCAUGGAUGAGAAAACAGAGAGGCCAAAUGCUUUGCCCAGAUCAGAAAGCCUCACACAGGAAGGGAAAAGCAGUACAGUACACCCCCCACCACCUACAGCUGCCAACUCUACCAGUAGCCAGGGAGAUGCUGGAGGCCAGUAGGUGUCAGAGCAAAAGGCAAGGCAGGUGGGUGGUCUACCUCCCAGAACAGCAUGUUCACCUGCAUCAGUCAGGGUGAAGUGUCGGUCAAUUCAGAUCGAUGAGACUUACUCCAGUAUUUAUGAUCCAGUGAGAGAGAUGGGGGCCUAAGAGUUUGCAUUUCUAACAGUUCCCAGCUAGGCUGACGCUGGCAGUUCACAACCUAACUCUAACUAACAACUAGUAGAAGGCACACUCAAAAAUAUCUUAUUUUGAGACACCCCUCAAGGCUCAGGGAUCAUCUCAUAAGAAGAAGCAGAAAGACUGUAAGAGCCAGAGGUAGUGGAUGGUCACAACGAAACUGUUUUCCCAACUAACAGGGCAAAUGCACGUAUGAACUCAUAGCAAUUCUAAUAGCAUUCAGAAGACUUGCAGCAAGCUAAAGCCAGAGAAAAUUUGAGUUCCGAGUAGGAGAGGUGUAGCUGAGGAGCUAGUUAGCUUUCUUUGAGGGUGUGACCUUUGCGAGGCUGACCACAGUCCAGAGCAGGCCCCAUACCCAAGACGAUUUAAGCAACACAAAUGAGUAGAUGAGUUUUUAAAAAAGAACCCGAAGUUGAGUGGGUAAGGUGGUGGAAGCGAAUCAGCAAGGAGUUGGAAGGUGAGUAUAAUCGAAAUACCCUGUAUGAUAUUCUCAAAGAAUUGAUACAAACGCUAUUUCUAAAAUAUUCUUAUUUAGGAGAGAACAACUUAUUGCCCCCAAAUCCGGAAUUUAAAGGUGACUCAGUUAUAUACUCUUCUUGUAUAGGUUGCCUAUUACGUCUCUGCCACUUCCCUAUGGACAGUUCAUAGUUAUCUAUUUUCUCCAACAGUUACCGUGUUAAACUCACAGGGCAUGUGCUUCACACACGCUUCACUAUCACUGCACUGUACUGGCUGUGUAACUGGAGCGAGUCUUUAACCAUACCAAACUUCACACUUUUCAAUCUGUAAACUAUAAUCCCUUCCCCCAGACCUUCUCUCAAGAUUGUCGAGGAAUCUGACAUCAGGCAUGUGAAGGUGACCACAUUUCAUACUCACUGCUAGUUAGGUGCCAGGACCAAAGAACUUCAUGUACCUGGCAGGCCCUAGAACACAGGUGACAUUUGGUGACAUCCUCUUCACUCUAUCACUUUUAAUGUCCCUUCUUUUCCAAGUUGCUAUUUCUAGACACCCCUCACUGAGCCACUUUUCAAACACACACACACACACACACACACACACACACACACACACCCCAAGCAGCAAUAUAGGCUUCAAGUGAGGGGCUCCUUGAUGGUGGAGGCAAAUGCAGCACAUAGACUCACGGAAACAUUAUUUGCCUACUUUUUGGGUUGGUUCUAUUCAAGUCACACUGGAAAACAGACAUGUCACGAAAAUUGCAGAGUGACUGUUCUUCUAAACCUAUAGGCAUCAGAAGGAAGUCAUCCUCAUGCAGUAAGAUCACUUCCUGUGAGCUCAAUCUUUUGCCUUGUUGACUAAGCAUCCUCAUCUGCAAAACAGACAUGGACUCUUUUAUGAGUCACAGGACGAAAUGAAAAUAUAUGGUGGGAAAGAUGGCUCGGUGGUUAAAAGCACUUGUUGCUCUUGCAGAGGACCUGCGUUCAAGUCCCAACUAGUCA